UUAUAAGUAAAAAAUUAUGAAGAAAAAAGGAACUUCAGCCAACUACUCUUUUAGUAUUGAAAUGUGGACUGAAUAAAAUCCUAAUUUCUGGCAUCUUUUCUUCUUGUUGUCGUACUGUUGACUCAAAUUUGUUGGUGAUUUUUGUCACAGUUGAUGUUCUUAGUGUGUGUAUGUGUGUGUGAUGUGCUGGUAUUUCUGGGUUGAUUUGUGGUUUGUCUUGGUAAAAAUGAU
rnacentral:lncRNA from 1 species